CGGAGUGGCUGCAGGCUCACAGGCUUAGUAGGGCGUGUCUCCCAGCCUCAUUUUGCAAAUGAGGAAGCUGAGGCUCAGAGAGGGAAGUGAGCUGACCUGCGUCACACAGCGGCAGGCGGCAGGCAAGGGGGGGUUCUGCCCCAGUGUCCCCCACCCCGGUUCCAGAACACACUUGGGUGCGGCGCCGUCCACCACCACCGUCUGACGAGCAGGACCCUGCAGGGCCCAGGAUGACCUCCUGUCUGACGGCCCCUCCCUGGGGCUCCUGGGAGGAAGGCUGCAGUGGCCAUGAACGUUGGCCAAGCAACCACAGCUGACUCAGAAACCUCCUUGCAGCCAGAGGAAGCUGGGAAGAGGCAAGCCCGCUGGGCGCCCACGGGCCAGCUCUGGGAUCAUUCUGGAGGAUCACUUCCCUUGACAACGAUGUCAGCCUACAGAGGCCUGGGGCUCCUCGCAGGGCCCCGACUUGAUGGGACCAAGGUUCGGGGCGCAGGGCUGAAGCCCAGGACCACGCUGUGGCACUCUGGCACCUCUCUGGCCCGCAGUUUCCCUGGCCGCCUGUGGUGGGAGGUGGGCACAGUUCCAAGCCGGUUCCAAGCCCAAGGUGCUUGAGUCCCUGCUGGGAGCUGCAGCAGAGGGAGGCGCUGGCCGCGUGGUCUGGAGGGCCCCGAUCCUACGAGGGCUGCUCUGCUCUAGCACCUUCCUUGGCUACCGCCUCACCCCCUCUGGGAGGCUGGCCUCCCCCACCUCGCACAGCCGGGUUCAGCCAGACCAUCCUCCCGUCCUCCCGGCCAGUGCUUCUGCCUGAGCCUUUACCCAGGCCCCCACCCCAGCCCAGAGGGCACCCCUCUAAGUGGGGAAGGGAGGGUCCCCAGCCUUGGGGACUGUCUGUCCUCGACCCAGUGUGGGGGUCCAGGCAGGUAGUCUCUCCCUUCUCAGCGAGCGGUCCUCCAGACUCGAAGGCUGGCCUCCUCUUAUGGUGCUUUGAGGCCAGCCCCCUCACCUGGGGCAGGUCUUCUCCAGGCCGGGAGCAGCUUCAGGGGCUGCCUGUGCCUGGGGGAGGGGGUGCACGCCCCACCAUCCCGCCCCUGCCUGUCACUGCUGUCACGCUAUCCCCGCAACCCGGCGGGGCGGGGGGCCCGGCCCCCGCCCCCUGCCCUCCUCGCUCCUGGACAUAAGCCUUUUCAGACCACCACCCCCCUUUCUCCUAUAUUAGUGUCCUCAGGCUGCUAUAAGCAGUGACCAUGAACUUGGCUUAAAACAACAGGUAUGUAUUGUCUUCCAGUUCUGGAGGCCAGGAGUCUGACAUCAAGUUGUCGGCAGGGGUGGUCGGUUUCCUCUGGAGGCUCAGAGGGGCGUCUGCUCCCAGGCCUCUCACCCACCUCCCAGGGAGUGCUCGUGGCCCUCAGCAUUCCUGGGCGAGGGGGUACAUCGCUCCAGCCUCAGUUGUCACGUCUCCCCUCCAUGCUUCUGUGUUCUCUGCUCCUCUUUGAAGGGUACUUCUCACUGGAUUUGGGAUCCACCAAAUCCAGGCUCAUUUCCCAUGAUGGCAAGGUGACGCUCAAAAUCCUUUAAGCUAGGCUUCCGCAGUAUGUGCCCUGAGAACUUGCAGAUGUGCAAGCUGGGUUUCGAAGAGGCAGAGGAACCAGAGAUCAAAUUGCCAACAGUCUUUGGAUCAUAGAGAAAGCAAGGGAGUUACAGAAAACUAUCUACUUCUGCUUCAUUGAUUAUGCUAAAGCUUUUGACUGUGUGGAUCGCAACAUACUGUGGAAAAUUCUUAAAGAGGUGGGAAUACCAGACUACCUCACCUGUCUCCUGAGAAACCUGUAUGCAGGUCAGGAAGCAACAGUUAGAAGCAGACAUGGAACAACUGACUGGUUCCAAAUUGGGAAAGGAGUAUGACAAGGCUGUAUAAUGUUGCCCUGCUUAUUUAACUUCUAUACAGAGUACAUUGGGUGAAAUGCUGGGCUGGAUGAAUCACUAGCUGAAAUCAAAAUUGUCAGGAGAAGUAUCAACGGUCUCAGAUAUGCAGAUGAUAUCACUCUAAUGCCAGAAAGUGAAGAGGAACUAAAGAGCCUCUUGAUGAGGGUGAGAAUGAAAAAGCUGGCUUGAAAUUCAACAUUCAAAAAACGAAGAUCAUGGCAUCCAGUCCCAUCACUGCAUGGCAAAGAGAAGGGAAAAAUUUUGAAGUAAUGACAGAUUUUACUUUUUGGGCUCCAAAAUUACUAUGGACAGCGACUGCAACCAUGAAAUUAAAAGAGGCUUGCUUCUUGGAAGGAAGGCUAUGACAAACCUACACAGCAUAUUAAAAAGCAGAGACAUCACUUUGCUGACAAAGGUCUGUAGAGUAAAUGCUAUGAUUUUUCCAGUAGUUAUGUACAGAUGUGAGUGUUGGAUCAUAAAGAAGGCUGAGUGCCAAAGAAUGGAUGCUUUCAAGCUGUGGUGCUGGAGAACACUCUUGAGAGUCCCCUGGACUGCAAGAUCAAACCAGUCAAUGCUAAAGGAAAUGAGCCCUGAAUGUUCAUUGGAAGGGCUGAUGCUGAAGCUGAGGCUCCAAUACUUUAGUCACCUGAUGAGCUGACUCAUUGGAAAAGACCCUGUGCUGGCAAAGAUCAAAGGUGAAAGGAGACGAGGGAGGCAGAGGAUGAGAUGGUUAGACAGCAUUAUUGACUCAAUGGACGUGAGUUUGAGCAGACUCAGGGAGACAGUGAAGGACAGAGAAGCCUGGCUUGCUGCAGUCCAUGGGGUUUCUAAGAAUCAGAUACAACUUAGUAACUGAAAAACAACAAAUCCAGGCUGAACCCCGUCCCAAGGUCCUUCACUUAAUUAUGUCUGCAAAGACUCUUUCUGUAAAUAAGAUCCCCUCCACAAGUUCUGGGGGUUAAGAAUUGGACCUAUCUUUUUGGGGGAGGCCAUCAUUCAACCAGGGUCUCCUAGGGGGCGCAGUAGUCAAGAAUCCAUCUGCCCGCCAGUGCGGGAGACACAAGAGACAGGGGUUCAAUCCCUGGGUUGGGACGAUCCCCUGGAGAAGGAAAUGGCAAUUCACUCCAGUAUUCUUGCCUGGAGAAUCCCAUGGACGGAGGAGCCUGGCGGGCUCUGGUCUAUGGGGUCUCAAAGAGUCAGACGUGGCCGGGCACACACACACCCACACACGCACCACUCAACCCUUAAAUGCCAAGGGCCCGCAGCUGCGUCUGCCCUCUCUGCCUACCAGAGCCCCUGCACUUCAUCACAGCAGCCUGGGGGCCACGGAAGGCACCCUUGACAUGUGUGAGUCAGGAGGGGCAGGGAGCCCAGCUGAUGGGAGCAGGAGUGGUGGCUUGGAGAGCGGGCAGCUCCAGGCCUGCCCCCGGGAAUGUGGACGGGAUGCAUGGACAGACAGGUGCGCCCCUGUGCCCCUGGCUGGUCCUGGGGGCCCCAGGCCCCCGCCCCGUGGGCCGUCAACCCCUCAAUGGCCGGUGUUCUACAGGGGCCUCCCACUAGCAGGCCGUGGGCAUGAGCCUCAGGUCUGGGCAUGAGUGCCGGGCAAGUGGCCACUGGGCCUGGGGCCAGUGAGGCCCAGAGCUCCCCCACUGCAAUUGCCCCACCAGCGGAAGGCGACUCCCGCCUGUAGUCGCGGUGCCAGAACCCGCUGCUCCUCCAAGGUUCCUUUUACAACAAGUGGAUGCUUGGCUCCGAGCUCAGCAGCCGGGACUGAGGCUGGGUCUGAGGGCUCCCACAUCGAGGGUGGCCUCCUUGGCCCCGGCUCGCAGAGCUGGGAGCUCCACCAUGUCUUCUGUGAGCCCUGCUCCAGGCUCGGCCUCCCGAGUGUAGCGUGGGG
ensembl:lncRNA